CAGUCGCCACGGGAAUACGUAGGUGGCAAGCGUUGUCCGGAAUUAUUGGGCGUAAAGGGCUCGCAGGCAGUUUCUUAAGUCUGAUGUGAAAGCCCCCGGCUCAACCGGGGAGGGUCAUUGGAAACUGGGAAACUUGAGUGCAGAAGAGGAGAGUGGAAUUCCACGUGUAGCGGUGAAAUGCGUAGAGAUGUGGAGGAACACCGGUGGCGAAGGCGACUCUCUGGUCUGUAACUGACGCUGAGGAGCGAAAGCGUGGGGAGCGAACAGGAUUAGAUACCCCCGUAGUCCCUGUCUCUUAUAA
rnacentral:rRNA from 1 species